rnacentral:rRNA from 1 species
AUUGAACGCUGGCGGCAGGCCUAACACAUGCAAGUCGAGCGGAGCGGCGGACGGGUGAGUAAUGCCUAGGAAUCUGCCUGGUAGUGGGGGAUAACGUCCGGAAACGGGCGCUAAUACCGCAUACUCUCAGAUGAGCCUAGGUCGGAUUGGCUAGUUGGUGGGGUACAGGCCUACAAAGGCGACGAUCCGUAACUGUUCUGAGAGGAGGAUCAGUCACACUGGAACGGAGACACGGGCCAGACUCCUACGGGCGGGAGCAUGGGGGAAUAUUGGACAAUGGGCGAAAGCCUGAGCCAGACAUGCCGCGUGUGUGAAGAAGGUCUUCGGAUUGUAAAGCACUUUAAGUUGGGAGGCGUUACCAACAGAAUAAGCACCGGCUAACUUCGUGCCAGCAGCCGCGGUAAGUC